AUUGAACGCUGGCGGCAUGCCUUACACAUGCAAGUCGAACGGCAGCGCGGACUUCGGUCUGGCGGCGAGUGGCGAACGGGUGAGUAACAUAUCGGAACGUGCCCUGGAGUGGGGGAUAACUAGUCGAAAGACUAGCUAAUACCGCAUACGAUCUAUGGAUGAAAGUGGGGGAUCGCAAGACCUCAUGCUCGUGGAGCGGCCGAUAUCUGAUUAGCUAGUUGGUGGGGUAAAGGCCUACCAAGGCAUCGAUCAGUAGCUGGUCUGAGAGGACGACCAGCCACACUGGGACUGAGACACGGCCCAGACUCCUGCGGGAGGCAGCAGUGGGGAAUUUUGGACAAUGGGGGCAACCCUGAUCCAGCAAUGCCGCGUGAGUGAAGAAGGCCUUCGGGUUGUAAAGCUCUUUUGUCAGGGAAGAAACGGUCCGGGCUAAUAUCCUGGACUAAUGACGGUACCUGAAGAAUAAGCACCGGCUAACUACGUGCCAGCCGCCGCCGUAACAC
rnacentral:rRNA from 1 species